AGUGUGAAACAUUCAGAGGAGACUCUUUAGUUCUUUGGAAGAAGGCAGGGGAAAAAGAAAAUAUCCUUCAAAAAUGGCAAUGGUAUCUGAAUUCCUUAAGCAGGCCUGGUUUAUUGACAAUGAAGAGCAAGAAUACAUUAAAACUGUGAAAGGAUCCAAAGGUGGUCCUGGGUCAGCAGUGAGCCCCUAUCCUACCUUCAAUCCAUCCUCAGAUGUUGAAGCCUUGCAUAAAGCGAUAACAGUGAAAGGUGUGGAUGAAGCAACCAUCAUUGAAAUUCUAACUAAGAGAACCAAUGCACAGCGUCAGCAGAUCAAGGCAGCAUAUCUCCAGGAGAAAGGAAAGCCCCUGGAUGAAGCUCUGAAGAAAGCCCUCACAGGUCACCUUGAGGAAGUUGCUUUGGCUUUGCUGAAAACUCCAGCUCAGUUUGAUGCUGACGAACUCCGUGCUGCCAUGAAGGGCCUUGGAACUGAUGAAGACACUCUGAAUGAAAUUUUGGCAUCAAGAACUAACAGAGAAAUCAGAGAAAUUAACAGAGUGUAUAAAGAAGAACUGAAGAGAGAUCUGGCUAAAGACAUUACCUCAGACACAUCUGGAGAUUAUCAGAAGGCUUUGCUUUCUCUUGCUAAGGGUGACCGAUCUGAGGACCUUGCUAUAAAUGAUGACUUGGCUGAUACAGAUGCAAGGGCUUUAUAUGAAGCAGGAGAACGAAGAAAAGGGACAGAUUUGAAUGUGUUCAUUACCAUUCUUACUACCAGAAGCUAUCCUCAUCUUCGCAGAGUGUUUCAGAAGUAUUCCAAGUACAGCAAGCAUGACAUGAACAAAGUUCUGGACCUGGAGUUGAAAGGUGACAUCGAGAAUUGCCUUACAGUUGUUGUGAAGUGUGCUACAAGCAAACCAAUGUUCUUUGCUGAGAAGCUUCAUCAGGCCAUGAAGGUAAUGUUGGCUAAAAAGACAUGCACAAGUUAAAUGAGAGUUAAGUUUUAUUUGGGACAAAAUGGGGACCAUAGCCCGGGAAGCAGCAUUUCAGAGAGCUCUAAGAUACUGCGCCAAAGAGGCAGGGGGAAAUGUUGGUAUAUAUGUGGUUUUGAUGAAGGAAGAGAUACAUGCAACCAAACAUACAUUUUGCAGAAAUUUGCUACUAGUCUUGUGAAGGUUACUGCUUGUCACGAGAAGCAGACCUCAUCCCGAAGGAUUUUAGUGCUUUUUUUAGAUAUGAGGAGAUGUAAAGAAUUGGGCUUAUAAAAUCUCCUCCUAAAAAUAUCUACUUAUCUGAAGACCUGCUCUACCAGUUUUCCCAAAGCACAGAGUGCCUCACUCCUGAUCUCCACCCUGAGCUCUUUCAGUGGGUGUUGAGGGUCGGCAGCUACAGUGGCUCACGAUUCAUUCUGUAUAGAGGCAGAUGGCAAGUGCCAAUCUCCAGUUCAUAGGAACCUAUAUGUAUGAUUUGAUUGGGGGAAAAUACUGUGUGUGGAGAGAAGAACAGAAAACCUCAUAUUGUUUGAAAAUUACACUCAUUUUAAUGUAUUUCCAUUAAAAAAGAUUUCUUUUCCAUCCGAUGCAAGAGGUAAUAUACUUAUUACAGGAAAAUUCUGUUAGCUUUAUUAUAUUCUUUUAUAAGUAAAAUAGUAAGAUGAGUUUGUAGGUAGUUUGUGGAUUACUCAUGAUUUGCAUAAAACCUGAGUCAUCAGAGGACAGGGAGUAUACUUGUUCUUCUAAUGUAUGACUUUAGUAAUCUACUUCUGUUAAGGUUUGAAAUUUUACAAUCUCCCCCUUUCUAAGCUUCAUUAUCUUUUGUAUUAUUCUGUCUUCCAUGAUAUUGCUUAGUAUGUCAUUCUAAGAUUUUUAAAUGUUAUUCUAAGAUCACUGAAGUGAAAAGUGUUAAGAUGUAUUUGAAAUACUUUAACCACUUCACUGUAGUUAAUUAUCUAGCAUGCAUUCUGUUGUAUAGGAUGUUACCUGUAUACUUGCAUUGUGAAAAGUUAUGAAGUUGUCUUUUUUUCCCUUUGCAACUCCAAAAUAAAGAAGUCUUCAGAGAGAGAUCUAACCAUUCAAUUAGUAGGAAAGAGUCCCUUUGAAGCGAUAGGCAUUGUGCCACUGGGAGUAGGCAGUACAAUCCCUGACCCUAUGCCUGUGCUAGCUACUGAGGUAGUUAGAUGGGUAAUGAUGAAUACCUAGUAUUGUAAAAGAGCAGAAGAAGGAUGUGUGCUCCAGACUUUGGAAAUCAGUGUAGUCUUGCUGUCAGCUAAACUAAGACCUGAUAUUUGAAUAGGAAUUAGAUGAGAGCAGGAGUGGAACAGAUAAAGGAAGAAAGCAAGUCUGGUCCAGAAGGUAGGAGGAUAUCAGAUAUUAAAUAUAAUUAGAGUGAGAGUGUGUGAUGUGAGAAGUCGUAGCAUUAGACGGCAUUGGAAGCCCAGAUAAAAUGAUUGGUUUUCAUCAUCAAAGCAUCUGAAGGCCAUUAAAGGCCAUAUAAAUAGAUGAAUUAGGUGAUAAGAUUUGCAAUUUAGAAAGUUCACUUUGGAGUUCCCUUCAUGUCUCAGUGGAAACAAAUUUGACUGGCAUCCAUGAGGAUGCAGGUCUUGCUCAGUGGGUUAAGGAGCUGUGAUGUAGGUUGCAGAAGAGGCUCAGAUCUGGUGGUGCUGUGGUUGUGACGUAGGCCGGCAGCUACAGCUCUGAUUUGACCCCUAGCCUGGGGACCUCCAUAUGCUGCAGGUACAGCCCUAAAAAGACAAAAAAAAAGUUCACUUUAUUUGUAAUUAUUGAAUAGUUUAGACAGAGGAAAGACUGGAUGGUAGAAGACCAUUUAAGAGGUUAUGAAAGUUCUUACAUACUGCUGAUGUCACAUUUGGGUUCAUGUCAUUUUAUUACCACUUGUGUAAACUGUGUGUGCGUGUUUGUGUAUUUUAAGGUGGAAAUAGUUUCUCUAUAAAAACUAUAUAGGUGAGCAAAAAAGCUGCAUAUUCAAACCUAUGUCUUAUUAAAAGGAUGCUCUGUAUGAGGGACACUUACUGUCAUUUGUUUUGGAAAGGGUAUUGGAACUCGUCAUAAGACACUGAUCAGGAUUAUGGUUUCCCGUUCUGAAAUUGACAUGAAUGACAUCAAAGCAUGCUAUCAGAAGUUGUAUGGUAUCUCCCUCUGCCAAGCCAUCCUGGAUGAAACCAAGGGAGAUUAUGAAAAAAUUCUGGUUGCUCUAUGUGGAGGAGACUAAACGUUCCUUUGAUGAUCUCAAGCUUUUUGAUCAGCAGUCUUUUUAAUCAUAUCUUUUCAUUCCGUAUCAUAGACUUAAAUAAGAAAAUUUCUUCAGCAGGAUUAUAGUCUAGCUAACUCCUUUCUGAAAAAUAUAGCCUAUAAAUCAUUUUUUGUAUUACAACUUUAUAUAAUAGAGAUAAGUUUUUUAAAAAAUAUAUUUACCCCAAACUAUAGAACCCCAUGAAGAGGUUGUUCUAGUAACAUUGUCUGAGGAAUAUGUUUAUGUCACAGAAAAUAAAAUGAUUUUACAGGCCAA
rnacentral:lncRNA from 1 species